AAAAUACAGAAGUUUAAUCACGUCUGCAUUUUAUGUAGCUCGGACUUCGAACUGAAAGUUACAGCUCUGUUACAGGCUUUAAGCUGCGAAAUCAUGGCUACGGUCGCUAUUGAAUAUUGUAAAGGAUGAAGCUACGGGUUCCGUUACCAGGAACUAGCCGGUACUCUCCGGCAGGUUCCUGGUGUGCAGGUGAAGGGAGAUAAGGGUAGACCAAACAGCUUUGAGGUGUCAGUGAAUGGUGAGCUGAUCUACUCCAAGCUUGAGACGGGAACGUUUCCUGAUACUGAACAAGUGACAAAAAGGGUGAGGGAGAUGGUCCAAGGAGAAAAAGCGGGGAAAUCCUCAAAGAAAGAACAGAAGAACCACUGCUCUUACCAUUAGAGCUGUAUUCUGUACUGCAAGAGUAAUACAUGGUUUGUCUUCUGUGGUUCGAAACUCAUUCUCAUCACAUCUGCUUAACUCAAGACCAAAAUGAAUUCAAACUUUAAAAUAUGAGUAAGUUUUGAUUUUUAAGUUUUAAUUGUCGACCAUAACCAAAAUCUUUGAGUCUCAUAGUCAGCCAAGAAGAUCAGACCAUAAAUUGUCUUCACUGUGAAUACAAAGACGACAAGAUGAUGACAGCAACUCCAAGGAGCCAUGUACUGAUCUGUACUUCUGUUUAUGAAUGUAUACAUUGAAAAACAUGUGGUGUGUACACGAUGCAAGUGUAGAAGCUUUUCAGCAGACUGGAGCCUGAGGAACUGCUCUGUGCAUUAUUAAAACGUCUCUUUAACUGCAUUUAAUUUAGAUUGGGAAAAAGGGAAAAUAUAACUCUUCAUCAGCCAUAUAUAUAUUUAAUAUUCAGUUUCUCUCUGUUUGGAUAAGUCCAGAAGUUUUGGGUCUGUGCUGUGACUGGGCAGGAAUUUAAAGGAAUAGUUUGAAAUUUUGGGAAAUAUGCUUAUUUUCUUUCUUGCCAAGAGAUCAGAAGAUUGAUAUGAUGAAUAUAAGGCUACUUUUAACAGCCAAUUAUCUUAGCUUAGGAUAAAGACUGGAAGCAGUGGAAAACUUGCUUUCAGUGUUGGACUGUUUCCUGACUGGGACCAGUAAAUUAAUGGACUGUUUAGUCCUGGUCCAGGUCAAUAAAUAGUCCAACACAUGACCCCCCCCCCCCCC